rnacentral:rRNA from 1 species
UUUUUAAAUUGCUGUAGUAUUUUGACUAUACAAAGGUAUUGUAAUAAGAUUUUAAUUGAAUGCUAAAAGAAUGGAUAUACAAAAAAAUUCUUUUUUAAACUCAAAAAUUUAAAUUAUUUUUGUUUGUGAAGAAACAACAAUAACAAUUAAGGACAAGAAGACCCUAAGAAUUUUUAAUUAAUGAUUACUAACUUAAAUAAAUAAUUAUUAAUUUUAAUUGGGGUGAUUAAUAAAAAUUAAAAACUUUAUUAUAAAAUAAUAUGAACCAUUAAUAAUGGUUUUUUGAAAAAAAUACUCUAGGGAUAACAGCGUAAUAAUUUUUAAUAGUUCAUAUAGACAAAAUAGUUUGCGACCUCGAUGUUGGAUUAGGAUUCUUAUUUAAUGCAGAAGUUAGAUAAAGAAGUUUGUUCAACUUUUAAAAUCCUACUUGAUCUGAGUUCAGACC